AACGGUCAUGCCAUGCUGAAUAUACCGGUUCUCGUUAGAUCACCGAAGUCAAGCAUCAUUGGGCGCGGUCAGUACUUGGGUGGGUGACCACCUGGGAACACCGCGUGCCGUU